rnacentral:sRNA from 1 species
GCCAGGUGCAGUGGUGCACACCUGUAAUCCCAGCAGCUCUGGAGGCUUAGGCAGGAGGAUUGAGAGUUCAAAGCCAGCCUCAGCAAUGGUGAGACACUAAGCAACUCAGUGAGAUCCUGUCUCUA